AGUGAACGCUGGCGGUAGGCCUAACACAUGCAAGUCGAACGGCAGCACAGUAAGAGCUUGCUCUUACGGGUGGCGAGUGGCGGACGGGUGAGGAAUACAUCGGAAUCUACUUUUUCGUGGGGGAUAACGUAGGGAAACUUACGCUAAUACCGCAUACGACCUACGGGUGAAAGCAGGGGAUCUUCGGACCUUGCGCGAUUGAAUGAGCCGAUGUCGGAUUAGCUAGUUGGCGGGGUAAAGGCCCACCAAGGCGACGAUCCGUAGCUGGUCUGAGAGGAUGAUCAGCCACACUGGAACUGAGACACGGUCCAGACUCCUACGGGAGGCUGCAGUGGGGAAUAUUGGACAAUGGGCGCAAGCCUGAUCCAGCCAUACCGCGUGGGUGAAGAAGGCCUUCGGGUUGUAAAGCCCUUUUGUUGGGAAAGAAAAGCAGCAGGUUAAUACCCCGCUGUUCUGACGGUACCCAAAGAAUAAGCACCGGCUAACUUCGUG
rnacentral:rRNA from 1 species